rnacentral:rRNA from 1 species
CACGUAGGGAGCAAGCGUUGUCCGGAUUUAUUGGGCGUAAAGAGCUCGUAGGCGGUUCGAUAAGUCAGGUGUGAAAACUCUGGGCUCAACUCAGAGACGCCACUUGAUAUUGUCGUGACUUGAAUCUGGUAGGGGAGUGUGGAAUUCCCGGUGUAGCGGUGAAAUGCGCAGAUAUCGGGAGGAACACCAGUGGCGAAGGCGGCACUCUGGGCCAGUAUUGACGCUGAGGAGCGAAAGCGUGGGGAGCGAACAGG